rnacentral:misc_RNA from 1 species
AAACUGACUCUUGAAUUUUCAGUUUAUGUAUAAUAAAGAAGGACAAAAAUGUUUCUAAUGGCUGAAAUAUAACUUGAAAACAUGCAUUUGUAGAGAUGCAUAACAAUCAUAUGCAAGGCUUCAUACACAUUUACCAUUCAUGAUCCCUUUUUAGAAAUGUCUAUAAAGAAAAGGCCACUCCCUAUUACACACAUAAUGAUCAAACUUCAGAUCCAUACACGAUUCAUUACCCAAAUUAUAGGAAGCACUAAAACCAUACCUUCAAGCUCAAAAUCAGCCUAAUGACUCUAAAAACUUAUCAACACGGCUAUUUGAUCCCCUUGACAAAAACUUCAUGCAAAUCGGGGGUUUAAUCCCUGCUAGAGCGAGUAUUGAACUGGGUAGAGUCCAUAUUCCAUCCCCACAAAUCAAACCCGAAGCCACUGCAGGGCCGAAAUUGUCUGCCUUCCUUCUAUCAAUUUUCUGCCACACAAAUAGAAUCAAGCUUCCCAUAGCCAUGUCAAUGGCAAAGUAUGGUCCCAGAUAGAAAGGUAUAGCCAUUGCCAUUGGAAGGGGAAUGAAUCUUGACCAUUUCUUACCCGAUGAGUCUUUGAUCAAGUUUAUCGCAAUGGCUAAACCAAAGAACACAUAACAAAGUAACAGACAAUUCUUUGGCAGAGCUGAAAAGCCUUGAACCCCCAAUAUAGCCAUGUUUCUGUAAAUAACAGCAUUAGGAGAAGGGUAUUCACUUCCAGGAUGCCCAAGAUCAUCGAAGGCCUUGUAAAAGAGCCAAAAGACACAAGGAGAAAUAAUGCAACCCAUUGCAGUUCCAAUUACUUGGCUCACAAACAUUGACCGUGGUGAAGAUAGGGUUAAGUAACCUGUCUUAAAAUCCUGAGUGAGAUCAGAGGCAGUGGAGACAAUGUUCAUCAUCACUCCACAAGCUGCAAGUCNNNNNNNNNNNNUCCGCCAUGUGAAGCACCAGCCCAUGCCCCAAUUGUGAAAAUAGCUAGCUUCCCAUAGGUAGAUGCUAGAGACCAGUCAGUGAGUCCACAUCCAUAAGCAUUACAGAAUGCUAAGGUUGGUGCAAAGAUGUAGAUGACCAGUAUGUAGUACCAUUUGAGUUGGUGAAAGAUGUGUGGAAGAGUGGCUGUAGAGAUGGCAGCAAUUGUAACAUAUCCUGCAAUAGCAAACCAUGUUGGAAUUUGAUCUUUGAUAAAGAGUCGUGUGCGGCGUUCAUCAUCGUAAGAGAGCUUAAGGCUCUUAGGAGAAGGAUGGUCAACAACAGGGAGACCACUGCUUGCACCUCGACUUCGGAGUUGGAAAAACAAAGCAGCAAGAGUUCGGCUUAGCACCUUAAAGAAGUUGUACAGACCAUCACCCAAGAUAAUGGCAAUGGCAAUAAACACCUUGUAACCUUGAAGAC